CAGCCGCCACGGUAAUACGUAGGGUGCAAGCGUUAAUCGGAAUUACUGGGCGUAAAGCGUGCGCAGGCGGUUAUAUAAGACAGAUGUGAAAUCCCCGGGCUCAACCUGGGAACUGCAUUUGUGACUGUAUAGCUAGAGUACGGCAGAGGGGGAUGGAAUUCCGCGUGUAGCAGUGAAAUGCGUAGAUAUGCGGAGGAACACCGAUGGCGAAGGCAAUCCCCUGGGCCUGUACUGACGCUCAUGCACGAAAGCGUGGGGAGCAAACAGGAUUAGAGACCCCCGUAGUCCCUGUCUCUUAUAC
rnacentral:rRNA from 1 species